UCGCAAAAACUCAAAUUCGAGACGGGGGCCCGCACAAGCGGUGGAGCAUGUGGUUUAAUUCGAUUAGCAACGCGCAGAACCUUACCAGCCCUUGACAUCCCGGUCGCGGUUUCCAGAGAUGGAGACCUUCAGUUCGGCACGCCUUUGGACUUACACGGUGUUACAGGGCUAUGCUGCAUGGCAGCUCGAACGAGAUGUUGGGUUAAGUCCAUACCGCAACGAGCGCAACCUUCGCCCUUAGUUGCCAUCAUUAAGUUGGGCACUCUAAGGGCGGUGAUAAGCCGCGAGGAAGGUGAAGAUGACGUCAAGUCCUCAUGGAGUCUUACCUUACGGGCUGGGCUACGUGCUACAAUGCG
rnacentral:rRNA from 1 species